rnacentral:rRNA from 1 species
UACGGAGGGGGCUAGCGUUGUUCGGAAUUACUGGGCGUAAAGCGCACGUAGGCGGCUUUGUAAGUUAGAGGUGAAAGCCCGGAGCUCAACUCCGGAAUUGCCUUUAAGACUGCAUCGCUUGAAUCCAGGAGAGGUGAGUGGAAUUCCGAGUGUAGAGGUGAAAUUCGUAGAUAUUCGGAAGAACACCAGUGGCGAAGGCGGCUCACUGGUCCGGUACUGACGCUGAGGUGCGAAAGCGUGGGGAGCAAACAGG